UACAUGGGGUGCAAACGUUGCUCGGAAUUAUUGGGCGUAAAGCGCACGUAGGCGGUUUGUUAAGUCGGAUGUGAAAUCCCUCGGCUCAACUGAGGAAGUGCACCCGAAACUGGCAGGCUUGAGUACUAAAGAGGGUCGCGGAAUUCCCGGUGUAGAGGUGAAAUUCGUAGAUAUCGGGAGGAACACCGGGUGGCGAAGGCGGCGACCUGGGUAGAUACUGACGCUGAGGCACGAAAGCCAGGGUGAGCGAACGGG
rnacentral:rRNA from 1 species